rnacentral:rRNA from 1 species
UUGGACCUACGGGAGGCAGCAGUGGGGAAUAUUGCACAAUGGGGGAAACCCUGAUGCAGCGGCGCCGCGUGAGUGAAGAAGUAUUUCGGUAUGUAAAGCUCUAUCAGCAGGGAAGAAAAUGACGGUACCUGACUAAGAAGCCCCGGCUAACUACGUGCCAGCAGCCGCGGUAAUACGUAGGGGGCAAGCGUUAUCCGGAUUUACUGGGUGUAAAGGGAGCGUAGACGGCAGCGCAAGUCUGAAGUGAAAUCCAAUGGCUUAACCAUGGAACUGCUUUGGAA